rnacentral:rRNA from 1 species
UUAAGCGACUAAGCGUACACGGUGGAUGCCCUGGCAGUCAGAGGCGAUGAAGGACGUGCUAAUCUGCGAAAAGCGUCGGUAAGGUGAUAUGAACCGUUACAGCUGGCGAUGUCCGAAUGGGGAAACCCAGUGCAAUUCGUUGCACUAUCGUUUGAUGAAUACAUAGUCAAACGAGGCGAACCGGGGGAACUGAAACAUCUAAGUACCCCGAGGAAAAGAAAUCAACCGAGAUUCCCCCAGUAGCGGCGAGCGAACGGGGAGCAGCCCGGAGUCUGAAUCAGCUUGUGUGUUAGUGGAAGCGUCUGGAAAGUCGCAGGGUACAGGGUGAUACUCCCGUACACUAAAGCACACAGGUUGUGAACUCGAAGAGUAGGGCGGGACACGUGGUAUCCUGUCUGAAUAUGGGGGGACCAUCCUCCAAGGCUAAAUACUCCUGACUGACCGAUAGUGAACCAGUACCGUGAGGGAAAGGCGAAAAGAACCCCGGCGAGGGGAGUGAAAAAGAACCUGAAACCGUGUACGUACAAGCAGUAGGAGCCUCCUUGUGGGGUGACUGCGUACCUUUUGUAUAAUGGGUCAGCGACUUAUAUUCUGUAGCAAGGUUAACCGUAUAGGGGAGCCGCAGGGAAACCGAGUCUUAACUGGGCGUUAAGUUGCAGGGUAUAGACCCGAAACCCGGUGAUCUAGCCAUGGGCAGGUUGAAGGUUGGGUAACACUAACUGGAGGACCGAACCGACUAAUGUUGAAAAAUUAGCGGAUGACUUGUGGCUGGGGGUGAAAGGCCAAUCAAACCGGGAGAUAGCUGGUUCUCCCCGAAAGCUAUUUAGGUAGCGCCUCGUGAACUCAUCUUCGGGGGUAGAGCACUGUUUCGGCUAGGGGGUCAUCCCGACUUACCAACCCGAUGCAAACUACGAAUACCGAAGAAUGUUAUCACGGGAGACACACGGCGGGUGCUAACGUCCGUCGUGAAGAGGGAAACAACCCAGACCGCCAGCUAAGGUCCCAAAGUCAUGGUUAAGUGGGAAACGAUGUGGGAAGGCCCAGACAGCCAGGAUGUUGGCUUAGAAGCAGCCAUCAUUUAAAGAAAGCGUAAUAGCUCACUGGUCGAGUCGGCCUGCGCGGAAGAUGUAACGGGGCUAAACCAUGCACCGAAGCUGCGGCAGCGACACUAUGUGUUGUUGGGUAGGGGAGCGUUCUGUAAGCCGUUGAAGGUGGCCUGUGAGGGUUGCUGGAGGUAUCAGAAGUGCGAAUGCUGACAUAAGUAACGAUAAUGCGGGUGAAAAACCCGCACGCCGGAAGACCAAGGGUUCCUGUCCAACGUUAAUCGGGGCAGGGUGAGUCGACCCCUAAGGCGAGGCCGAAAGGCGUAGUCGAUGGGAAACAGGUUAAUAUUCCUGUACUCGGUGUUACUGCGAAGGGGGGACGGAGAAGGCUAUGUUGGCCGGGCGACGGUUGUCCCGGUUUAAGCAUGUAGGCGGAUGUUCCAGGUAAAUCCGGAACGUUAUUAACGCUGAGGUGUGAUGACGAGGCACUACGGUGCUGAAGUGACAAAUGCCCUGCUUCCAGGAAAAGCCUCUAAGCAUCAGGUAACAUCAAAUCGUACCCCAAACCGACACAGGUGGUCAGGUAGAGAAUACCAAGGCGCUUGAGAGAACUCGGGUGAAGGAACUAGGCAAAAUGGUGCCGUAACUUCGGGAGAAGGCACGCUGAUGGUAGGUGAAGCGACUUGCUCGUGGAGCUGAAAUCAGUCGAAGAUACCAGCUGGCUGCAACUGUUUAUUAAAAACACAGCACUGUGCAAACACGAAAGUGGACGUAUACGGUGUGACGCCUGCCCGGUGCCGGAAGGUUAAUUGAUGGGGUUAUCCGUAAGGAGAAGCUCUUGAUCGAAGCCCCGGUAAACGGCGGCCGUAACUAUAACGGUCCUAAGGUAGCGAAAUUCCUUGUCGGGUAAGUUCCGACCUGCACGAAUGGCGUAAUGAUGGCCAGGCUGUCUCCACCCGAGACUCAGUGAAAUUGAACUCGCUGUGAAGAUGCAGUGUACCCGCGGCAAGACGGAAAGACCCCGUGAACCUUUACUAUAGCUUGACACUGAACACUGGUCCUUGAUGUGUAGGAUAGGUGGGAGGCUUUGAAGUGUGGACGCCAGUCUGCAUGGAGCCAUCCUUGAAAUACCACCCUUUAAUGGCUGGUGUUCUAACGUGGGCCCCUAAUCGGGGUUGCGGACAGUGUCUGGUGGGUAGUUUGACUGGGGCGGUCUCCUCCUAAAGAGUAACGGAGGAGCACGAAGGUCAGCUAAUCCUGGUCGGACAUCAGGAGGUUAGUGCAAUGGCAUAAGCUGGCUUGACUGCGAGCGUGACGGCGCGAGCAGGUGCGAAAGCAGGUCAUAGUGAUCCGGUGGUUCUGAAUGGAAGGGCCAUCGCUCAACGGAUAAAAGGUACUCCGGGGAUAACAGGCUGAUACCGCCCAAGAGUUCAUAUCGACGGCGGUGUUUGGCACCUCGAUGUCGGCUCAUCACAUCCUGGGGCUGAAGUAGGUCCCAAGGGUAUGGCUGUUCGCCAUUUAAAGUGGUACGCGAGCUGGGUUUAGAACGUCGUGAGACAGUUCGGUCCCUAUCUGCCGUGGGCGCUGGAGAAUUGAGGGGGGCUGCUCCUAGUACGAGAGGACCGGAGUGGACGCAUCACUGGUGUUCGGGUUGUCAUGCCAAUGGCAUUGCCCGGUAGCUAAAUGCGGAAGAGAUAAGUGCUGAAAGCAUCUAAGCACGAAACUUGCCCCGAGAUGAGUUCUCCCUGACUCCUUGAGAGUCCUGAAGGAACGUUGAAGACGACGACGUUGAUAGGCCGGGUGUGUAAGCGCAGCGAUGCGUUGAGCUAACCGGUACUAAUGAACCGUGAGGCUUAACCU